CUACGGGGGGCAGCAGUUAGGAAUUUUGCGCAAUGGACGAAAGUCUGACGCAGCGACAUCGCGUGUAGGAUGACGGCCCUCGGGUUGUAAACUACUUUUAUUUGAUCAUGAAGAUCUUAUGAAUAAGCAACUACUAACUACGUGCCAGCAGUCGCGGUAAUACGUAGGUUGCGAGCGUUACCCGGUUUUAUUGGGCGUAAAGCGUCUGUAGGUGGUUUUCUAAGUCUUGUUUCAAAGACCCCGACUCAAUCGGGGGCAGGGGCAGGAUACUGGGAAACUAGAGUUAUAUCGGAGUUACUGGAAUUUGUAGUGUAGGGGUAAAAUCCGUGGAUACUACAAAGAACACCAAGCGCGAAGGCAGGUAACUAGGUAUACACUGACACUCAGAGACGAAAGCUAGGGUAGCAAAUCGGAUUAGAUACCCGUUAGUC
rnacentral:rRNA from 1 species